CCAGCUAAGGUCCCAAAGUCAUGGUUAAGUGGGAAACGAUGUGGGAAGGCCCAGACAGCCAGGAUGUUGGCUUAGAAGCAGCCAUCAUUUAAAGAAAGCGUAAUAGCUCACUGGUCGAGUCGGCCUGCGCGGAAGAUGUAACGGGGCUAAACCAUGCACCGAAGCUGCGGCAGCGAACGUAUCACUUAAAGCGAUUCAGCGGGUUACGAUUGACGGAGCGAAGCGACGUCAAAGCGUAUACAAAGUCGAGUCGGUUUAAGGAUACGUUCGUUGGGUAGGGGAGCGUUCUGUAAGCCUGUGAAGGUGUGUCGUGAGGCAUGCUGGAGGUAUCAGAAGUGCGAAUGCUGACAUAAGUAACGAUAAAGCGGGUGAAAAGCCCGCUCGCCGGAAGACCAAGGGUUCCUGUCCAACGUUAAUCGGGGCAGGGUGAGUCGACCCCUAAGGCGAGGCCGAAAGGCGUAGUCGAUGGGAAACGGGUUAAUAUUCCCGUACUUGGUGUUACUGCGAAGGGGGGACGGAGAAGGCUAUGUUGGCCGGGCGACGGUUGUCCCGGUUUAAGCGUGUAGGUGUGUGUUCCAGGUAAAUCCGGUUCACUUUAACACUGAGGCGUGACGACGAGGCACUACGGUGCUGAAGCAACAAAUGCCCUGCUUCCAGGAAAAGCCUCUAAGCAUCAGGUAACAUCAAAUCGUACCCCAAACCGACACAGGUGGUCAGGUAGAGAAUACCAAGGCGCUUGAGAGAACUCGGGUGAAGGAACUAGGCAAAAUGGUGCCGUAACUUCGGGAGAAGGCACGCUGACACGUAGGUGAAGUGAUUUACUCAUGGAGCUGAAGUCAGUCGAAGAUACCAGCUGGCUGCAACUGUUUAUUAAAAACACAGCACUGUGCAAACACGAAAGUGGACGUAUACGGUGUGACGCCUGCCCGGUGCCGGAAGGUUAAUUGAUGGGGUCAGCGCAAGCGAAGCUCCUGAUCGAAGCCCCGGUAAACGGCGGCCGUAACUAUAACGGUCCUAAGGUAGCGAAAUUCCUUGUCGGGUAAGUUCCGACCUGCACGAAUGGCGUAAUGAUGGCCAGGCUGUCUCCACCCGAGACUCAGUGAAAUUGAACUCGCUGUGAAGAUGCAGUGUACCCGCGGCAAGACGGAAAGACCCCGUGAACCUUUACUAUAGCUUGACACUGAACAUUGAGCCUUGAUGUGUAGGAUAGGUGGGAGGCUUUGAAG
rnacentral:rRNA from 1 species